rnacentral:snRNA from 1 species
AUCGCUUCUUUUGGCUAAGAUCAAGUGUAGUAUCUGUUCUUAUCAGUUUAAAUGCGAGAUGUUAAAUUGUAAAACUCUUAGAAGAAAAUAUAAUGACAAAGCUCCGUGGGACCACAU